rnacentral:sRNA from 1 species
AUGUUUGGCAUUUGCCCUAUGGUAUGUACUAAGGUUCAAGAUCAAGAACAUGACUUGUGAGAGAUUUGAGCUCAAAAACCCUAAUGAAUAAUGAUCAUGUGGGAUGUACCAUGUUAGUCCUUAUAUUUUUAAGUUUAUGUCAAAAUGGUCAUUGUCGUUACACUUGUUUUGAUUUGAGUUGAGAUUAUUCAACAAAAAUACAAGCAUCUAAGGAAUUGUUGUGUCACAUGAUGCCUUAAGAUGUUAAUAGAGGAUUGGCAUAAGCAUUUAUAGGAUUUUUGUGAAUUGGCUUUCCACAAGGGUGGAACCCACCCCAUGUGAGAGGGAGUUAUAUAUGCCCAUUACACCAUAUAAAGCUGACAUCUCACAAGAAUAUGGGUCCCACACUUGUGCAGACCACAUGUUAAUGAUAGUCUUGUUGCAUAGAGCGGGUACAAGAGAUAAUUUUUGCAAUUAUAGACCUUGGAUCCUACAGACAUAGGCCAAAAAAAUACGAGUGGCCAAUUUUAUAGGAAAAUGAUAUUAUGUAUCAUUUCUUUCUUUCUUUUUUUCUUUAUCCAAUCUAUUGUGCAUUGGGUGUAUGUAACCAUUCUCUUCGGGGGUGGAUAAUAUGAGAGAGGGGUUUACUCAAAAGUCUAGGACCACACACUUGCCUACACACUUUGACACUAUUUGCACAUUUGUCAAUGUGUGAUUAAAUUAUAUCACUUUCACAUAGUUCACCACUAUACUUUUUUUUUUUUUUUUUUUGAGAAACAAACACACACACACAAGGGAGAGAGAAAGGGAUUCUAACACAACCACUAUACUUAGUGAAAAGUAAUAUAAUCACCACUUGUCACAUGUUUGAGACUUUGAGUUAUGUCAAACUGCAAGCUGUGGUGGUUCUAAGAAUGUUUUUAGGGUAGUCAUUAAGAGCAUUCACACAAGUUUGUGUAAAAUGACAUUUAGCCAAAUUUUGCAUGACUAACCCUAAAAAUCAUGCACAUAAGUUUAUGUAUUAUUGUGCAAAAGGAAUUUUGUAGUCAUAGUAAUUGCGCAAAUAUACAUAGUUACUAUUCAUAUGUAUUUUUUUCAAGAGAGAGAGAGAGAGAGAGAGAAAGAAAUAAUAUUUUAAUAAAAUGUAGUGUAAAAUAGAUAGUUUGAUGUAAAUGUUUUUAUAAAGUGGUUAUGUAAAUGUUUUAUUAAAAAAGUUUUUAUUUUAAUAUGAACAUGAAUUUUUGCAUAAUUUGAUGCAUUUAAGAGACUUAAAUUAUACAAAAUCAUAUAAAAAGAGAACUUAAAUAUAUUGACAUCACAAUCAAAAAAAGAAAACACACACACACACACAAAAAUAUAUGAAGUUUUACAAUUUCUUUCUAUUAAAAUGAAAAUUCAACUCUCUAGUAGCUCAAUUAGUAAAGUCUCUAAUGGUUAAAUAAAAUAUCUAAGAUUUAAUUCAUGUCUACACCAAAAAUUAAUUGAUGUUUUUGUCUGAUGAUAAAAAGUUAUCAUUAGAAGUGGAUGCCAUAAAUUAGAACUCUCUAUAAAAAAAAAAAUUAUUAUAGUAAAACUCAACUUUAAGUGUUGUUGUUGCAAUAUUUUUAUUAUGUGUAUAACAUUACUGUGGGGGAUAAAAGGAUCAGGCCCAAGUUAACGGGCCGAACACCCACGAGAGAACUGUUUCACAUCCGAAGAGAAGGAUGAAUAGAAUGCGAGGUCCAGAUUGGAGCGGAAUCCUCUGGGUAGAGGAUCAUCGCUUUCCGAGGAGGAUAUCUCCAGUCCGAGGAGGACAUCUCCUGUCCGAGGAGGAUGUUUUACCCUGGUAUGAUAGCGGAGACUAAUUGAGCAGGAGAAAAGCCUGGUUGAUCGUCCGAGGAGCCCACCUGAUCAAGAUAAGCUCAAAGCACACUCAAGAACGAUAAGGAUGAAGAAAUAUCUGAGGGGAAGGCUGCUGUCACCGUAUUCAAUACAUUGCAACAGCUUUUCUGGCCGCAUUUAUGUGGAGAAGACAUCUGAACAGUGCUUCAUGACCUACCGCCACUCACACAGAGAUGAAAAGCAGCUGCCUGACGUGACAGGUACUUGAGCACGUCCAUGGAUGGGGAGCACGUGGACGGUAGGGAUGAGAGUGAAAGUGGCUAUAUAAUAGAGGGAGAGGGUAUGAAACGGGGCAUGGAAUGUAGGCGAAACUGAUCAAUAAAUAAUAAAAGAAGUGAUAAUCUUUUGCUGUGAAUCCCUUGUCAACUCUAGUUCUUCAACCCAUACUCUACAAAUUAAUUGUCUUUGGGUUUACGUAGAGAAAUUAGACCCUACAAUUACUCUAUUAAAAAGAAAUUUUCUUAAUAUUCUAAUUUUUAUUGUGUCAUAGCAUUACUCUAUUAACAAUUUAAUUCAACUCAAAUUUUUGUUGCAUUUUUAUUGUGUCCAUAGUUGUUGUUUCUCAACUUAUUAUUAUUAUUUUUUUAAUAGUAGAAAAAAAAAAUCAAAUAUAUUAUUUUCUGAACUAUUUGGUGCAAAAAUAGUACGAUAUUUAGGAGGACGCCACGCAGUGCCCCACACUCUAAAACUGCGACCGACGUUCAUCAAACCUCUUUCUUAUUCAAACCUCUUAAUCCUUCUCAAAAAAAAAAAAAAAAAAAAAAAAUUUUUUUUUUUUUUUUUUUUUUUUUUGGAGUGUGUGUUUUUAGGGUUUUGAAUGUUAUAUAUAUUAAAACGGGUACAAGGGCAGCCACGUUUUUUGCUGCUGGUAUUUUUCAUAAAUUUUUUUUAUAGUUUCUAUUUUCUUUGGAAGUCGAAGAGCCUAAGCUAGGGUUAGGAGUAAAUUCCCAGAGUUGUAAGUUGUCCAUUAUUCAAUCCAAACAUGUUUUUCAAGUUUUGAUUAUUGAAAUCAAUUGUUCUCUUUUCAUAAUUGUUUUGUUAGAUUGAUAUUUAAUUUCUAAUUCUUUCAUAAGUCUAUUCUUGAAUUUUUCUUAUUAUUAGAAUAGGGUUUUAUAAUCUCUCUAGUAAAACAUAAUAAUCUUGUUAGAUAUUAUUUUUGUCAUAGUAUUGCCUUUAAGGUAUGUGACUUUCUUGAGUUUUUCUAGCAAAGUUAUUAUUUUCUAGACUAAAUUGUAGGAACAAUUGAUGAAUAAAAUCAACUAAAGAGUGUUUAUUAAUAAAGCUUAUUUCUAAAUCUUCCAAUCAGAUAGUUUAUGUGUUUCCUUAUUGAUUGUGUAUUAAAUUGGAUUGGUAUUGAAUGCUUCACAAUAUUGGUGGUCAAACCCUAACACCCUAGUGAUUUUGGUUAUUAAAAUUUUACCAAACUUUUUUUUUUUUUUUUGGGGUACUAGUUUCAAUCAUAUUUUCUAUAUAUUAUUGGUCCUUUUAAUUUUUUCUUGUUUUCUUUUUCUCAGUGAAACGACAAUUUUGGCUGCACUACAAUUUUCGUUACAAAAUUGGAUGACAUCAGCCGCAUCUCAUUACAAACAACCAAGGAAGCUGUCAUCGUGCAAAACAGAGUAUCCCAUGUUUUUGGUUCUCAAUUGCUGUUACAUUACUGCGAAAUUUGAGGAGUGGAUAUCGGAUAACGUGAGUGAGUGGCCCUAUAUUUCCGAUACGCUACCAUACCAUACCGUUUUAUAGGGGUGCAAAUAAUACGAUAUUAACUGCACAUUAACACGCCUCACAGUGCCCCACUCUCUACUUCUACAAUCAUAAAACCUCUUUCUUAUUUUUACAGUUACAGAGUCGAAGUUGAAAAGUUGAAAGGAAAGAGGAAAAUCAGUUUAUAACUCAGUUCGUCGACGCUGCCUGACAGUAACACAGGUCAGGUUGAUCAAUAAUUGUUCUAUGCUUAUAUCAAAGUUCCUGUUUUUCAUUCUUGUCAUCAUGGGUUUUGCUUUCCUGCUUUGCAAUUGAUACGUGUUUGAUUUUUCAUUGUUCACUUUGACUGCAAUUCAAAGUAAUUUUUUGAAUGUCAUUAUUGUUUUAGUGAGACUAUUAUUUAUGUCAAAGCUUUGUAACUUAACUGAUAUUUCUCAUUUAUUCCAACGAAGACGUUUAAAGUUCAAAUUAAUUUCUCUACCAGUAAAAAAAAAUUGUGCACUUCUACUACUAAAUUUGAGAAGAAUUAGGAAGUCAACCUGGAACCCCAACAAUCAAAAUCAGGGCUUUAUGGGUUUAUCAGGAAGUUUGAACUCCUAGGCUUAAUUAGUAACAAUUGUGAUUUGGGACUCCAUCGAAAACUAUACUGAGAAGCAAACCUAUUAGAUGUGUUUGAUUAUGGCUUUUAUGUUAGGGCAUAUGUGCAGAUUUCUCUUAAUUUUGAUAUAUACAUGAUGGCCUAAACCUUACAUCGGUUAGCUAUGUGUUUGUUUGAUACAACUUAAUUUUCAGCGUUUUGAAAAUGUGUUAUUUGAAAAAAGAGUUAUACCCCGGAAAAAUUUGCAGUUUUUUGAAAAAGCAACAGAACUGAAACAAGCGGAAGACAUUUGUUGGAAUGCCUUGAUGCCCACAAGCACAAUAAAUGUGUAUAUAGUAUAUAUCUAUUGAUUUGUGAGAUUGAUUUUGUUUUCCAUUUUUUCCAAAAUAGUAAUGGACGGCUUAGCAAUGAUGCAUCAUUUUUCUGCCAUGAAGACUUUAAAGGAUCUGAAUUUUGAGAGCUGGACAGAGUGGAAAACCAAUUUGCAAAUUUUCCUUGGUUUGUGGGACCUAGAUAUUGCUCUUUACAAAGAAAAACCAACCGAUGCAUCUGAAUAUGAAAGAUGGGAGAAAAGUAAUCGCUUAAGCAUUUUGAUUAUGAAAGCCAAGACUGAUGGUGGUAUUCGUGGUCUUGUGCAUGACAGUACUGGCAAUGCCAAACAAUUUUUUGAUGCUCUUGAGGCCUUAUUUAUGAAAAUGGAGAGAGAUGAGGCUUGUUCACUGUUUCGCAAGUUAGUGAGGAUGAAAUUUGAUGGUGAAGGGAGUGUCUGUGAACACAUUAUGAAGAUGGCCAGUAUUUACUCUAGGCUGAGAGCUGUGAAUUUUAUGGGCCUCUCUGAUGAUUCUUUUCUUGUUGAAAAGGCUGUCAAUUCUCUGCCUGAACGGUUUUGGCCUCUGCAAUGUGCAUAUGAUCGUCAAAAUAAGAAUUUUGGAUUGGACGAACUUAUAUCCAGGUGUGCAGCAGCAGAAAAAUUAUUUAAUGAAGUUGAAGAUAAUGAUGUUAGUGAUGCAUCUUUUGAAAGAGAGCAAUCAGGAUAUACAAUUGACAAUGACUGUAGGCAAAGUGCAAAAACUCAAUGUUUUUCCUGUGGGGAGAUAGGCCACAAGAGGAGGGACUGCCCCAACUGAUGGUAAAAAAGGUAAGAGUUUUUACGUUCUGUCAUGUGUGACAUGUAUUUGAUUAAUUUCUUGGGUGAUUAUAUUUUCUCUGGUAAUGGAAUCUCAUAUUGGCUUCCCAUAUUACAAAGCCCGAAUAAAUGGGUUUCUUUCUUUAAAUAAGUUAUUCUAACAAUCACCUCCCUCUCUUAAAAUGUAUAAAAAUGAAAGAAGAAUUGGUUGUAUAAAAUCAUCGCAGUAGUUUUAUUUCAAAUGAGGCUUUAAUGGAUUUCACAUUUUUUUUCCUGGCUGUUCAGGGAAUAUGAGGCUAUCUUACAGACAAAUGAAGGGAGAUUUCUUGGAAUGUUGGCUGUAAGGUGAUAGUUUUAUUAAUUUUCUGUCAGUUCUUCCUUGUGUAUGUGAGUUAGUUGUAUUUUGUUCAAUUCUAGAUGGUACAAACUAUUAGUAAUUCCUACCUAAAUUAUAAGAUGGAGUUUAAUUAUAUCUAUUUGAUUUUUAAUUUUUCCUAUGAGCAAUUUUCAUCUAAAUUAGAUUGAUCAUAAAGUUGUUAGUGUGUGGUAGUAAUAGGUGAUCACACCAUCAUAUGGCUCUCACAUACAAUAACCUCUCUCGGUGGAUAGUCUUGUUUCACCGACCCUGUUUUUGUUUGCGUAGAGAGAAAUUGGUUUUGUGUAAGGUUGUAAAUUUUGGGGUUGAUGUAUCUGUUCAUACAGAUUUGUCUAUUCCCAAGGGGUGCAAAUUUGCCAAGGACUCUCAUUUGCUUCUUGACACAAUUUAUUUUCUCUAUGGACACAAUGCUAUAUAGUCUCUGAUUAUCACCCUAAUGGGACUACCAUUUGCAUUUGGGACCAACAAAAGUUAAGUGAUUGUAAUUGAAAUCACUGCCAGCAAUAAGUGAAAUUUUAUGUAAUGGGGACUAUAGUUCUUGCUAUGGGGCCUCGUUGCUCCAUGUUUGAAGCAAUGCUUUUGUUCCUGUCUUGUAUAAGGUAUCUACAUUUUUUGGUUCGAAAGAAAAAGUCAGAUGAGACUAACAUGUCUUGUUAAUUCAAUAAAUUUGAGAUUUUACAAUGCAAAACGAAGAUUAAUGAUAAAGAAGGGUUGAUAUGGGAAUGAGUCACAGGACAAUCAGAAUUUUGCAACAAUAAAAUUGAAAGACACGGGGAAAAUAAAGGUUAGGAACCUAGACAUCAACACCCAGGCUUGGAGUUAGCACCAAGCGAGGAAAAAACUACGUGGAAUCAGUACUUAGGAUACAAUAUAUAGUUUGCUUAUACAAGAAUACUAAUCCCUAAUUAAUUGGUGUAGAAAGCUUUACUUAUUACAUGAAAAAAAAUACUUUAGACUUCAAAAUGAAAAUUCAAGGGCCUAAAAUACAAAUGCAAUUGAUAUCCAAAAAUAAAUAGAUUGAAUUAUAAUAAAAUCCUUUUUGUACAUCCCGCAACAUAAUGUACAACGUAUCGAAAGAGAUAUGGGGAAUGAAUUCAUGUGUUGUAUAAUAUCGUUUUUUUUUUUUUAAUAAUAUCGUGAGGAUACAUAAGUACAUAACAUCAUAUUCGUUCAAUUAUGAACGACAAUAGUAUAACUACCAAUAGCUUCUGCGUUCUUAAUUAGUUCUCACCAUGGCUACCCUUUUUGCUGACUAGAAAUUGAUUGGUUUGAAUAACCUUAUGCAUCGAUAGGUUUUGGGGAACAGUUUAUGAAAAAUAAAAUAAAAUAGAAAAAUUGAUCAACUAGAUUAUAUAUCUCGGUAAAAUUGAGUAACGAGCACUCACCCCAUUGCAAAAGUAUUGACAUCACAAAGUAGGGCUUUAGAAACCCGCCUAGGGAGGUCCAUUGUGAGGGGGAGUACUCGUGUUAUGGAAAUAUGAGGUGUUGAUUGGAUUUUGCCAAAGUCAUAUCUCAUAUCUCAAAAAAACUGAGUUUUGUUAACUCAUAUCUCAAAAUCUGUGGGCCCCACAUGCAUAAAGUUUGUUUGGCUUUUUUUUUUGGAUGAGAACUCAGUUAACAAAACUAAGAUAUUUGAGAUUUGAGUUAAGAAAUUUGGAAACAAGAAAGGGUUGUUUUCAAGUUAUUGAAAUAUGAGUUUUGUGGCAAACUUGUAAAUAGCUGAACCCGUGUGGGCCCCAUGGCAGUGUCUUGUCCCAUCACCUGCUCAAUUCGCACGCUUAGCCAACGGUCACAUGCCUUCCUACCCUCUUCACUCUCCCAUCAGCGCCCUAAACAACAAAGCUCACCUCUCAUUAUCCAAACCCAUAGCAACACCAACUGAAUCCACAAACUCCGAUCUUGCACACCCAUCUACGAUCUUUCAAGCCCCGGCAUUUGAACAACCCAAGCUCCGCUGCUCCAGUCUGUUGCUGAUCAUCGAAGCAAAUCUCCAAUUUGAAUGACAUUGAAGAUUAUUAAAAAAUAAAAUGAGUCAAGGGGUCCAACAGUACUCAUUUCCCACUUGAAAUCCCUCACGAAUCCACAAUACCACAUGGAAAACAAAAACCCAGGACAUAAACAAGCUUGCAACAAGAAAGAAAUAAAUUUAUUCAACACCAUGGCAUACCCAGCAAAUUUAUUCUCAUUUUUUCCGAAAAUUGCAUAUAUAAAAUGAGGGAAAAAUUGACACACAGUGUUGGUAAUCUUCAGAGAAGCCGUCGGAUUCGUUGUGCCCUUACCCACCGCUGAUCAGCCUUGAGGAGCAGAGGAGUGAUCGUGGAUAUCUAGGCUCGGUUUCAGGGACGAGGCAAGAGGACGGAGGUGUAGCGGCACGUUGUGAGUUCGGUUUCAGGGACGAGGAAUGA